GUCUUAUUGUUAAUUAUAAUAGGUCUGGCCUGCCCAGUGAUUUAUUUAACGGCCGCAGUAUACUGACUGUGCAAAGGUAGCAUAAUCAUUAGUCUCUUAAUAGGGGGCUGGAAUGAAUGGUUUGACGAAAURCCUACUGUCUCAAUUUUAUUAAUUGAAUUUAACUUUUAAGUUAAAAGGCUUAAAUUUCUUUGGAAGACGAGAAGACCCUAUAGAGCUUUAUUAUUUUUAUUUUUAUUUUUUUUGGGAAAAAAUUAUUUUAAUUGUCGGUUUAAUUUUGUUGGGGUGAUGGUAAAUAAAUAUUUAACUUUUAUUAUAAAUUUUACAUUUAUUUAUGAUUAAUUAGAUCCAUUUUUUUGAUUAUUAGAUUAAGUUACCUUAGGGAUAACAGCGUAAUCUUUCCUUUGAGUUCUUAUUUUCGGAAAGGGUUGCGACCUCGAUGUUGGAUUAAGAUUAUAGAUAGGUGUAGUCGCUUUUUUUGUAGGUCUGUUCGACCUUUAAAUUCUUACAUGAUCUGAGUUCAAACCGG
rnacentral:rRNA from 1 species